CUCUGUUCUCUGACACAUAAACAAUCAGCUGGUCGGCCAUGUUGGAUAUACCGGUGAAUCUGACGUUGCAACAACAUGCAAUCUGAUUGGUCAGAAGUGGACACACAGUAUGCGAAACUUUAGAAAAAUUGACCAUGAUCCGAAAAAACAAAUGCCGCAAUAUCGCAGGACAGGAAAACAUUGUUGAUGUGAAUGCUUGUAUUGACA